GUCAGUUGUGGGGUCUAAUAAUUUAGGGGUCAGGUGUGGGGUCUGAUAAUUUAGGGAUCAGGUGUGGGGUCUGAUAAUUUAGGCAUCAGGUGUGGGGUCUGAUAAUUUAGGAGUCAGGUGUGGGGUCUGAUAAUUUAGGGAUCAGGUGUGGGGUCUGAUAAUUUAGGGGUCAGGUGUGGGGUCUGAUAAUUUAGGAGUCAGGUGUGGGGUCUGAUAAUUUAGGGGUCAGGUGUGGGGUCUGAUAAUUUAGGGGUCAGUUGUGGGGUCUGAUAAUUUAGGGGUCACUUGUUGGGUCUGAUAAUUUAGGGGUCAGUUGUGGGGUCUGAUAAUUUA